AUGGGACUAGUGGUGGAGGAAGCUGCUGGUGAGAAAGGCAAUUAUGCAGAGUGCACUGUGAAAUGGAGUCUCCCAAAUCAGCAAAGCAUCUGGAAAAUUAAACCGUGAUGACACUUCACGAAAUGCCCCUGUUUUGGCUGUUCUUUUCACAGUGAUAGCACCUGGGAGACCUUCUCCAGACCCCAAGGCUCUCUGGUGCUGCGUGCUGCACCAGUCCUACCAGAACCGAGGAGCUUAUUGUAUGAUGAAGGGCCCCAGACAUUUAUCUUCUGUUUCUGUUGAUGGACUGAAUAAGCUGCUGACCAGUCUUAUCAAUUGAAGUAAAUGGCAAGACCCCCUUUAGCUUCCGUGAUUCAAAUGGAGCCUAGUAAGUGCUACAGAGUCCAGAUGUUCUGCAGCUGUUAAUCUCCCAGAAUUCAUCUCCCAUGGCAGAAGCCUAAUCCACAGAAAAGAGUAAUGCCAUUCCUACAUGACUGUUGGGUGGAACACUUGCCUGGGCAUGUGAAGAUUUGAGUCUGAGUUACAGUGGAACACAUAACUAAUAGAGUAGGCAAAACAUUUUUCAAAUAAACUGAAAUACUUGGAAACUUUCUAAGUUUCUAAUUCAGUUUUCUGUUUUUAGAUGCUUUUGACAUUUUAGUAAGUGAACUGGCAACCACUAGGAAGUGAUAUAUAUCAAUAUCUACUAUACUGUUUGCAGCUACUUCUAGUCAUGGAAUCAUAGAAUCAUAGAAUGGUUUGGGUUGGAAGGGGCCUUUAAGAUCAUCUAGGUCCAGCCUCCCUGUUAUAGGCGGGGACACCUCCAUCUUGACCAGGUUGCUCACAGCUCCAUCCAGCCUGGCCUUGAAUGCUUCCAGGGAGGGGGCAUCCACAGCCUCUCUGGGCAACCUAUACUGGAACUUGUUUUGUGAGAUUGUGAUGAUAAUAAUUCAACAUAUUAUUACAUAUGAACUUGUGAUAUAGAUGACUUUGAUUUGUUAUAAAUCACUAAGUUUUAUGUGAUUGGCAUUGGCUCUUUGAGAAAUUAGAUUAUGAACUUGACAGGUAAAACCAUCAACUUUGCAUAACCAUAAGAAAAAGCCACCAUAACACUGUUAGUUAAGAAGGUUAUAGAAAGAAGAGGGAAAGAGAACAUUACUUUGUCUUCUCUCUGUGCAGGAAAAGAGCACUGAUAGCUGCUAAUUGGUUACUCUAAUUCCAAGUGACACCAGAGCCUAGUUUCAAAAGUUUUAUUCUCUAGUUUUAAAGUAUAGCACAUAUUAUAUAUGAUUGUACUGUGAUAUAGGUAUCACUCCUCUUUAUUAUUUUCAGUGAUUGUGAACUUUCCUAAAUAGCCAAAUACAGAAGAAGCUCAUUGUGUUUUGCUUCUUGUUUUUCAUCCAUGCUAUAGCCGAUGACUGUUUCUUUCCACAUACAUGGCAGUCACAGAUGUUCUUUUUCC
ensembl:lncRNA